AGAUUGAACGCUGGCGGCAUGCCUUACACAUGCAAGUCGAACGGCAGCACGGGAGCAAUCCUGGUGGCGAGUGGCGAACGGGUGAGUAAUAUAUCGGAACGUGCCCAGUAAUGGGGGAUAGCCCGGCGAAAGCCGGAUUAAUACCGCAUACGACCUACGGGUGAAAGCGGGGGAUCGCAAGACCUCGCGUUAUUGGAGCGGCCGAUAUCAGAUUAGCUUGUUGGCGGGUAAAAGCCCACCAAGGCAACGAUCUGUAGCUGGUCUGAGAGGACGACCAGCCACACUGGGACUGAGACACGGCCCAGACUCCUACGGGAGGCAGCAGUGGGGAAUUUGGACAAUGGGCGCAAGCCUGAUCCAGCCAUGCCGCGUGUGGGGAAGAAAGGG
rnacentral:rRNA from 1 species